GUGCUUGCUUUGGCAGCACAUAUACUAAAAUUGGAAUAAUACAAAGAAGAUUAGCACGUCCCCUGUGCAAAGAUGACACACAAAUUCACCAAGUAUUCCAAGAUUUU
ensembl:snRNA U6 U6 spliceosomal RNA